AUUUUUUCUUGGUUGUUUUUCCAUUUAUUUUUAAAAUGCAAAUUACACUAGUAAGUCAAAAAAAUCACUCUGUUAAAAAUACAUUCAUAAUUAACAAAUGCAAAAGAAAGAAAGACACAUCAGGAUUGUAACUCUUGCCUUCUGAAUAUUAGGUUUAUAACAAAAGCUCAGCCUAGAAAAAUAGCAUUCUUCACCGGAGUUUGAGGAGGAUACAGCUGUACAACUUAGAUGUUUUUCCAGAUAGAAUCACACUACUGUGCUCCCUGUUUACUGAUUCCUGUUUAGUAGUCAACAACUGGUUUUGAAAAUUUUGGUGGUGAUGAUCGUAGUGAUUAGAUGGUAACUUGGCUGCAACGUAAAGCAGGAAUAUGAGGGUUUUGUUCUCUGUGCAUUUGAAUCUCUAUCCGUAUACAUGUCUUAGGGUGGAAUCUCAUCACAGCCUGAAUGUACAGUGAAACCUCAUGUUAAUAGUCACAUUGAUAGUCACAUUAGAAUAAUUUCUGGCAUGUGUAGUAUUUAUAUUUUAAGAAUCAAAGGAUGAUACAUUGGUAAGUAUUUUUCUCAUAUGUUAAACAUGCAUGUCACUAUAAAAUCAUCAUAUGAGGUUUCACUGACAUGUUUGUGACCGUAUAUUUUAUGCAUGUAUAUAUGGACAAACAUAUACAAACCACUGAGGAAAUUCAAGCACAAGUGCUGGAACUUUUUUUUUUUUUUUUUUGUAGUUUAUGUUCUACUAGUGACCUUUGUUCCUUUGUUAUCUUCAAGUGCGUAUGUGUGUAGAUCACAGACAUCCAUGCAGGCACAGUAAUGGGACUGGUUUAUGUAGCUUUGGAUGGGCUAACGUUCAAAGUAGGCUAACCCAAUAACUGAAACUUCAUAGAAACCAAGAGAAAAAGUUGCUCCAUGCCAAUUUAUAGCGUUUCAAGUCCAAAUUUCACUGCAUUUAAAGAUGGUGUAUUAUUAAUAGUCCUAAGAAAUUGAUUUUAGUGUCUCAGGUGGAUCAAAAAGAAAAUGACUCAUCUGAGUUCCUGACAAGCCUGAGCUAAUUAUGUUUUUCACUAAUGAAAAUCAAAUAAUGCCUGAAUAUAUAGAACAAAAUUUCCUAGGAAUUCAGAAUAUUCCAUAAACACAUUGACCUACUAUUAAGUUUNNNNNNNNNNNNNNNNNNNNNNNNNNNNNNNNNNNNNNNNNNNNNNNNNNNNNNNNNNNNNNNNNNNNNNNNNNNNNNNNNNNNNNNNNNNNNNNNNNNUCCAAAGGCAUCUUGUUGCCAACUACGUUAACAGCACAGUUUUUCUGCCACAAUAAUACAGGAGGGUUAAAAUACACUCUAACACACAACAGAUCCCCCAAUUACCACAAAGAGAUCUCAAAUAUUUUACCAAGGUAACUAUUGUUCCCCCCGCCCACCCAAAAAAUAAUCUCGUACGCUGAAGUUAGGAAAAGAAGUUCACCUACAUAGGGGCUUCCAUUUGAAUUAGAUAUAAAAGAGUAAACAUAGCUAAUACAUAUUCAGUUGGCCUCUGUUGAUAGAAAUCCACAGCUGUUUCUGUGUUAGUAAAAGACAUUUGUAGAUACUUAUAAAAGCACCUAGAGUGCAAUAAAUAAAAUCAGUGAGUUAAGCCAUCUCUGUUCUCUGCUUCCCCGUAGAUUGAUGAGUUUAGUAGAUUAAUAUGCUUUGUCCCACCCAACCCCCCUCAGAAGACCUUAUUGAAGAAUUAUAAAGAUGACGAUUAUUACUUUGUUACUAUUACUUGUCUCUUUUUGGCCACCGUGGAGGCUCAAUGGUAAAAGCACUUGGCUGACAGCUGGCAGUUUUCAUACACAGACACACUGGAGCUGCAGAGCUAUGCAGUCUUGUUUCUUGACAUGACACACACACAGACUUGAACUCAUUCGGAAUUAACAGCAGUGUGUUAGCCUAAAGGAAGUGACUUGGGGAUGUCUGCACUGAGGACUCUCAGGCGCACAACUUAGGUGGGUUAAGGCAAGUAUGUACGGUACAGCCUUUAGGGCAAACAACCUGCCAUUUCAG
rnacentral:lncRNA from 1 species